rnacentral:rRNA from 1 species
GGUUAAGCGACUAAGCGUACACGGUGGAUGCCCUGGCAGUCAGAGGCGAUGAAGGACGUGCUAAUCUGCGAUAAGCGUCGGUAAGGUGAUAUGAACCGUUAUAACCGGCGAUUUCCGAAUGGGGAAACCCAGUGUGUUUCGACACACUAUCAUUAACUGAAUCCAUAGGUUAAUGAGGCGAACCGGGGGAACUGAAACAUCUAAGUACCCCGAGGAAAAGAAAUCAACCGAGAUUCCCCCAGUAGCGGCGAGCGAACGGGGAGGAGCCCAGAGCCUGAAUCAGUGUGUGUGUUAGUGGAAGCGUCUGGAAAGGCGCGCGAUACAGGGUGACAGC